CUUCAUCGUAUUUUCUCUUUUCUCUCUCCCAUCGUUCCCAUCUCUCUUCUCAAGCGACUGAUAGGCACGCCUCUCCUCGAUCCGCCGGCUUGCUUCUCCGGCGAGCUCCCCCGCCGCUAUAACCUCGUACCCUCCAUUCUCCUCCCCCCUCCCACCUCAUCGACCCUCUCUUUCCCGCUGAAGGCUGCAAGGGGCGGAUGGGUAGAUGCUGCGCCCAGCCACCAUCCCUGCAAACGGCGAGCUCAAGCGAUACCGAUGAUGCAACCAGCUCCGAGGGUUGCUACAACCAGCAUCAUGCGGUGCUACAACCAGCACUGCGGGCAGCUAGAACUGGCUGCUCCAGAGGUGCGACGGCACGCCGCCGUUUGCUGAAACCGGCACUACGGGAAGCUGCAACCAGCUUUGUGAAUAGCUGCAACCAGUAGUCUGCGGUGCUACGACCAGCAGAGGGCGGCGAGGAGAGAGGUAUUUUUUGCUGGAACCAUGUAUCGAUUUUGCUACAACCUGCAAUUUUUUUUUGCUAGAACCAUCGAUGAGAACAACACGACGAGGGAGCUGCAUCGUUUUUUGCUGGAACCGUAGUUCAUUUUUGCUGGAAGCACUAUAUUUUUUUGCUGGAACCAGUUUUUGGUUUUGUUGCAGCUGACCACCGGAGUUCUUUUUGAUUGAGAUGUGUUUUUUCGCUGGAAUUCGGUGGUGCAGGUCGACCACGGCGGCGAGCUAGGGGCGGUGACGCCGUGCUAUGUUGAGCGACGUGAAUUACUGACCCGCGUUUGACGGAGCUGCAUCCGGCAAGGGAUGAUGCUGGAACCACUGCGAGAUGAGGAGGGCGUGCGACGACGAUGGAUUCAAGCAGCGGAGAGAGGCGGCGAGCGGUGGAGAUCCGGCGGAUCAUGUCACUCAUCCAUGGCGCUCGUGCCCCUGUGCGUGCUCGCGUGAUUUGCAGGGGAAAAGAAAAAAAGGAAAGUGUAUGAUAGAGAUGAAAGAGUUGUAAAUUUGAUGGAUAAAAAGUGUUUAAUCUGACGUACAGGGUACGACCGGCCCUAAUUUAGGCCGGUGCACCGGCGCCUAGCGCUGCCCUUUUUGUAUGGCACUGGGACUUGAUCGAUAGCACCUUCCUAUUGCGUCACGUGAGGAAGGUCCAAAAGGAGUACUAGUCUAUUUAGAAAGUUGCGUUGCUAAGGAAAGAAGGGAUCAGCCGCAACCAAAAAAAAGUUACACACAAGGUGGGAUUCGGUUGUGUUCUAAGAGCAAUUUAAAUGGGGUGAUCCAUCGUCCGCCCGCGUCUGUUUGGGUCGGUGCGGGCAAAAUGUGGUCCAACG
rnacentral:lncRNA from 1 species